CCUACGGGAGGCAGCAGUGAGGAAUAUUGGUCAAUGGCCGGAAGGCUGAACCAGCCAAGCCGCGUGAAGGACGAAGGUGCCAAGCAUUGUAAACUUCUUUUGUCAAGGGACAAAAUCAGGCUCGAGAGCCUGACCGAGGGUACUUGAAGAAAAAGCAUCGGCUAACUCCGUGCCAGCAGCCGCGGUAAUACGGAGGAUGCGAGCGUUAUCCGGAUUUAUUGGGUUUAAAGGGAGCGUAGGUGGAUUGUUAAGUCAGUUGGGAAAGUUUGAGGCUCAACCGUAAAAUUGCAGUUGAAACUGGCAGUCUUGAGUACAGUAGAGGUGGGCGGAAUUCGUGGUGUAGCAGUGAAAUGCUUAGAUAUCACGAAGAACUCCGAUUGCGAAGGCAGCUCACUGGACUGCAACUGACACUGAGGCUCGAAAGUGUGGGUAUCAAACAGGAUUAGAUACCCCAGUAGUC
rnacentral:rRNA from 1 species